rnacentral:rRNA from 1 species
CCUACGGGUGUCAGCAGUGAGGAAUAUUGGUCAAUGGACGCAAGUCUGAACCAGCCAUGCCGCGUGCAGGAUGACGGCCCUACGAGUUGUAAACUUCUUUUAUACGGGAGUAAAGUGAGACACGUGUGCCUGUUUGUAUGUACUUUAUGAAUAAGGAUCGGCUAACUCCGUGCCAGCAGCCGCGGUAAUACGGAGGAUUCAAGCGUUAUCCGGAUUUAUUGGGUUUAAAGGGGGCGUAGGUGGUUUGUUAAGUUAGUUGUGAAAUUUUGCGGCUCAACCGUGUAAUUGCCUUUGAUACUGUUAGCCUAGAGUACAGUUGAGGUAGGCGGAAUGUGUGGUGUAGCGGUGAAAUGCUUAGAUAUCAUGAAGAACGCCGAUUGCGAAGGCAGCAUACCG